UACGUAGGGGGCAAGCGUUAUCCGGAUUUACUGGGUGUAAAGGGAGCGUAGACGGCAGUGCAAGUCUGGAGUGAAAGGCGGGGGCUCAACCCCCGGACUGCUCUGGAAACUGUAUAGCUGGAGUGCAGGAGAGGUAAGUGGAAUUCCUAGUGUAGCGGUGAAAUGCGUAGAUAUUAGGAGGAACACCAGUGGCGAAGGCGGCUUACUGGACUGUAACUGACGUUGAGGCUCGAAAGCGUGGGGAGCAAACAGG
rnacentral:rRNA from 1 species